AGUAACUGACGUUGAGGCACGAAAGUGUGGGGGAGCAAACAGGAUUAGAUACCCUGGUAGUCCACACUGUAAACGAUGGAUACUAGGUGUAGGGUGUAUUAAGCACUCUGUGCCGCCGCAAACGCAUUAAGUAUCCCACCUGGGGAGUACGACCGCAAGGUUGAAACUCAAAGGAAUUGACGGGGGCCCGCACAAGCAGUGGAGUAUGUGGUUUAAUUCGAAGCAACGCGAAGAACCUUACCAGGGCUUGACAUAAACAGGAAUAACUUAGAGAUAGGUUAGCUCUUCGGAGCCUGUUUACAGGUGGUGCAUGGUUGUCGUCAGCUCGUGUCGUGAGAUGUUGGGUUAAGUCCCGCAACGAGCGCAACCCCUGCUUUUAGUUGCCAGCACGUAAUGGUGGGAACUCUAGAAGGACUGCCGGUGAUAAAUCGGAGGAAGGUGGGGACGACGUCAAAUCAUCAUGCCCUUUAUGUCCUGGGCUACACACGUACUACAAUGGCCGCAACAGAGGGAAGCGAAGUAGUGAUAUGGAGCAAAACCCGAAAAACGGUCUCAGUUCGGAUUGAAGGCUGAAAUUCGCCUUCAUGAAGCUGGAAUGCU
rnacentral:rRNA from 1 species